rnacentral:lncRNA from 1 species
CAGGAGUGUGAGGUAGUUUGCUCAGCACCUUAUGUAUUCAUUUAAUUGUCACGAUGACUUUGUGAAAUUGUGUAAUUAUGGCCAUUCUCCAGAUGUGGCAGCUGAGGCUUUGAGACACACAGCUAGUAAGCGGCAAAACUGGGAUUUCAACUCAGUGCUGUCUGCUUCCAUGAGUUGAACUUCUGCCACCUAGAGUAGCCUGAGCAAAGGACAUGUGGCAACUUGAGCAGAGGGCCAUGAGAGGCCCUCUUUGAAGAGAAGAAAUUAGAGGCAGAGAAACCUGUGUGGGAGUGGCUGUAAAAAUCCAAGAGAAAGAUGGGGGUUGAGGGAUGAAGAGGAAGAUGCUGUGCCGGGAACCGGGGAUACAUCAGGGCACAAACUAAACCCGUGUCAUUAGUGAUGUAAUGGUUAUAGCCGGCGGUCUGCAUUUGAAUCCUGAUUUGCAACUUAUUUGUGGUGAGUCCUGGCUCAGCCUCCAACUUGCUGUGAC